GUCCCUUCCAAGCAUCCCUGCAGCAGUGCAUGAUGUAACACACAGUGAGUGGCGCUCGGUUCACAAUUGCGAAGUUACUUUGUGAACACAACUUGUGUACAGCGGUAACUACGUGGGGUUGCUUGGACCAGAAAUCAGAAGACAAGUGUCGACUCACUAGAGGAAAAGGUCAGUGGUCACCCCUCUUUCUUUCACUCGGCACGGCAGUCGCUGGAGCCUGCAGGACGCUUGACAGCUCAACAAUGAAGAUGAACAGAAGGUGGUUUAACUAUGACAGAAGUUGAAGCACAGAAAUUCAGAGGGUGAACACAACACACCAUACCCAAUUGUCCAGGUGACCCAAGAAGACUGGAAGUCCACAUUUGAGGGACGAAGCUCCUGUUCCCUGAAGGUAGACAGGGUCGAGGUGUGUGAAGGCAUGAAGGUAGAGGAAGCCAUGAUCUCCUCGUUUUAUUCAUAUUUUGUUUUCAAUCUUGAAUACCAACCCAAAAACCAGAACACUCUGACCUUCCUCCAGCGAUGCAUUGCGAAAAUGCCAUCCAAGAUAUCCAUGUCUUUCUUUCCUCCGUGGGAGAGAAAUUAUGUUUUCUGAGGAAAACAUUUCUGGAUUUUUCUUCUAACAAUGGAGUUCAUUGGUUACCAUCGUUUUUAAGUCCAAAUCAAUGCAGUUUCAAAAGUCUUUGAAGUGUUUAAACGGGCCGUACGCGAUCACUACGUAACGUAACGUACGUAACUCGUAAAAUCUUGCUUAUUACUUAUAAAGCCCUGAAUGGUUUAGCACCUCAGUAUUUGAACGAGCUCUUGUUACAUUAUAGUCCUCCACGUCCGCUCCAUUCUCAAAACUCUGGCAAUUUGAUAAUACCUAGAAUAUCAAAGUCAACUGCGGGCGGCAGAUCCUUCUCCUAUUUAGCGCCCAAACUCUGGAAUAACCUACCUAACAUUGUUCGGGAGGCAGGCACACUCUUGCAGUUUAAAUCUAGAUUAAAGACCCAUCUCUUUAACCUGGCUUACACAUAACAUACUAAUACACUUCUAAUAUCCAAAUCCGUUAAAGGAUUUUUAGGCUGCAUUAAUUAGGUAAACCGGAACCGGGAACACUUCCCAUAACACCCGAUGUACUUGCUACAUCGUUAGAAGAAUGGCAUCUACGUUCAUAUUAGUCUGUUUCUCUCUUAUUCCGAGGUCACCGUGGCCACCAGAUCCAGUCUGUAUCCAAGUCAGAUGGUCACUGCAGUCACCCGGAUCCAGGACGUAUCCAGCCCAGAUGGUGGAUUAGCACCUAGAAAGGACCUCUACAGCCCUGAAAGACAGCGGAGACCAGGACUAGAGCCCCAGAGACAGAUCCCCUGUAAAGACCUUGUCUCAGACGACCACCGGGACAAGACCACAGGAACAGAUGAUUCUUCUGCACAACCUGACUUUGCUGCAGCCUGGAAUUGAACUGCUGGUUUCGUCUGGUCAGAGGAGAACUGGCCCCCCAACUGAGCCUGGUUUCUCCCAAGGUUUUUUUCUCCAUUCUCU
ensembl:lncRNA